UAUUUCUUCCUUGCUAUCCCCAUCUACUA
rnacentral:piRNA from 1 species